rnacentral:ncRNA from 1 species
AGGUGGUUCCCGCUACGGGAGGCAAGAGGGAACGCGGUGCGGCGCCGCGCCGGAAACGGGCGCCAAGUCCGCGGCUGUCCCCGCAACUGUAGGCGGCGAGCCGGCGAUCCAGACGCGGGCCACUGGGCGCGACGCGCCCGGGAAGGCGGAUCGCCGGGCGUGAGCCGCGAGCCAGGAGACCUGCCACCUU